UACGAAGGGGGCUAGCGUUGCUCGGAAUUACUGGGCGUAAAGCGCACGUAGGCGGCUUGUUAAGUCGGAGGUGAAAUCCUGGAGCUCAACUCCAGAACUGCCUUCGAUACUGGCGAGCUCGAGUCCGGGAGAGGUGAGUGGAACUGCGAGUGUAGAGGUGAAAUUCGUAGAUAUUCGCAAGAACACCAGUGGCGAAGGCGGCUCACUGGCCCGGUACUGACGCUGAGGCGCGAAAGCGUGGGGAGCAAACAGG
rnacentral:rRNA from 1 species